AAGAGAAGCUGACUACAUUGAGUCCACGGCACAGAAAUGGGCCACUCAUUCUAUCUUUCACCUUUCCCAGGAUGCUCUUCCCACUUAGUCUAGUGGCAUAAGAGUUGGCAGCAGGCUACAGGUAUCACUAAAUAUGUCAAAUAUAAUAUCACAAAUGAAACCCCGCUGGUUUCCCUGGCUGCACAAGGAUAUACACUCUCCGGUCCCGCCAAUCCCGGGAGAUAGAGACGGUUCUCUCACCCCAAACCCCGGCUUGUGUGGAACCUGUGUAAUCAACUCAGUGCCAAGAGAGCAGCGUGAGGAGAUCUUCAGCAUCCAUCAGAGAGAGAAGAACAGACAGACAGACAGACUUUAUUGAUCCCGAGGGAAACUGGGUUUUGUUACAGCCACACCAACCAAGAAUAGUGUAGAAAUAUAGCAAUAUAAAACCAUAAGUAAUUAAAUAAUAAUG